AGCGAACGUUUGCGGCGGGCUUAACACAUGCAAGUCGAACGAGAAUCCCUUCGGGGAGGAAAGUGGCGCACGGGUGCGUAACACGUGGAUAACCAACCCAUUGGUUUGGGACAACACCGGGAAACUGGUGCUAAUACCAGAUGUGUCGCAGCUGUCUUCAGGCGGUUGCGAGAAAGGCCCGCAAGGGUCGCCAACGGACGGGUCCGCGUCCCAUCAGCUAGUUGGUGAGGUAAUGGCUCACCAAGGCAAAGACGGGUAGCUGGUCUGAGAGGAUGAUCAGCCACACUGGAACUGAGACACGGUCCAGACUCCUACGGGAGGCAGCAGUGGGGAAUAUUGCGCAAUGGGCGAAAGCCUGACGCAGCCACGCCGCGUGAGCGAUGAAGGUCUUCGGAUCGUAAAGCUCUGUGGGGGGAGAAGAAGAAAGCCGGUGAAGAGCCGGCCUGACGGUAUCCCCUUAGCAAGCACCGGCUAACUCCGUGCCAGCAGCCGCGGUAAAGU
rnacentral:rRNA from 1 species